rnacentral:sRNA from 13 species
GUUUGCACUUGUCGGGGAAGGGUGAGAACCUUCGAUUAAGGUUCGACUUGAGCGAAAGCGAGAGAACGUUGCCAACGGCAACGGCCCGUAGGUUGAGGAGCGAAGCGACGAAUAAUCCUUCCCCCACCACCA